rnacentral:rRNA from 1 species
UACGUAGGCAGCAAGCGUUGUUCGGAGUUACUGGGCGUAAAGGGCGGGUAGGCGGCCACCGCAAGUCAGUUGUGAAAUCUCCGGGCUUAACCCGGAAAGGUCAACUGAUACUGCGGGGCUAGAGUGCAGAAGGGGCAACUGGAAUUCUCGGUGUAGCGGUGAAAUGCGUAGAUAUCGAGAGGAACACCUGCGGCGAAGGCGGGUUGCUGGGCUGACACUGACGCUGAACUGCGAAAGCUAGGGGAGCGAACGGG